GUGCUUGCUUUGACAGCACAUAUAUUAAAACUGGAAUAAUACAAAGAAGAUUAACACGGCCCCUGCACAAAAAUGACACGCAAAUUCAUGAAGCAUUCCAUAAUUCC